rnacentral:misc_RNA from 1 species
GAUGAAGAACGUAGUAAAAUGCGAUACUUGGUGUGAAUUGCAGAAUUCCGUGAACCAUCGAGUUUUUGAACGCAAGUUGCGCCCGAAGCCUUUUGGCCGAGGGCACGUCUGCCUGGGCGUCACGCAUCGCGUCGCCCCCCACAAUUCUCCGUAAAAGGAACAUGUGUUUUGGGGGCGGAUAUUGGUCUCCCGUGCUCAUGGCGUGGUUGGCCGAAAUAGGAGUCCUUUCGAUGGACGCACGAACUAGUGGUGGUCGUAAAUACCCUCGUCUUUUGUUUCGUGCUGUUGCUCGCAAGGUAAACUCUUUAAAAACCCCAAUGUGUCGUCUCUUGACGACGCUUCGACCGCGACCCCAGGUCAGGCGGGACUACCCGCUGAGUUUAAGCAUAUCAAUAAGCGGAGGA